UAGGUUAUAAUAUACGUGAGUUUAAUACUUCGUCGACUCGUCGGUGACGGUGUAGAAUGCUCGCGAUUUAUCGAUUGGCUGUACGGGGUGGCGAGACGACGGCCGAUUCAUGUGUAAUUAAAAUCGGUGGGCCUCCACCACCUCCACCACCACAAAAAAACUCCACCCACCCGACGGAGCCGAAAGCUGUUCACUACGAUCGACCCUCGUGAUUAUACGAAAUAUCUGAAUCCCCGGGGACUAGCAAUCGCGGUUGGCGGGGGUGGCACAAUCAUACAGUUACACACAGCGCAAGUACCAUGGUGUGCGCGGCUACGGACAUUUAAUUGACGUAAAAUCACAAAAAAAUGAAUGGACCCAAACGAAAAAUAAUUAAACGAAAUAAAUCUUUGUGGCAAAAACCGAUUGAAAAACUUCACUUGAAUGAUGUACACGUUGCCGUAUAUUGUCUUGAGAUUCUGUAUGAUAAUAUUUAUUAUAUACAUAUUAUAUAUAUAUUAUACUAACUAAUAAUAAUAAUUAUAUUUGGGGGACGAGGUGGCCGAGUGGUCUAACGCGACGGAUUCGGCACAGCCGGUCCGAGUUCGAUCCUCGACCACUGGGCGGCAUUUUUCUCCGUGCAAGUCACGGUGUCCGGAGAACAAGUGCCGCCAUCCCCCCACCCCGGGGCACGGCAGAAACCUACGGGUGCCCCAUUAGAAAUUCUGCCAAACACAACACACACGUGUACCAACCUACCCAAUAUAAAACCUACCAAACCUUCCAAAUAUAAAAA